rnacentral:rRNA from 1 species
AAAAUGUUUUGCAAAGAAUGUCUUAGCUCAAUAGAUGAUGAAGAAUGCUGCAAAAUGCAUUAUGAAUUGUGAAUUGCAGAAUUCCGUGAGCCAAUAAGUUUUUGAAUGUUACGUGCACCUUUGGGAUAUGCUUGAAGGUUUGCUUGAUUCAAUGCCAAAC